AUUGAACGCUGGCGGCAUGCUUUACACAUGCAAGUCGAACGGCAGCGCGGGCUUCGGCCUGGCGGCGAGUGGCGAACGGGUGAGUAAUACAUCGGAACGUGCCCAGUAGUGGGGGAUAGCUCGGCGAAAGCCGGAUUAAUACCGCAUACGACCUGAGGGUGAAAGCGGGGGAUCUUCGGACCUCGCGCUAUUGGAGCGGCCGAUUGCAGAUUAGCUAGUUGGUGGGGUAAAGGCCUACCAAGGCGACGAUCUGUAGCUGGUCUGAGAGGACGACCAGCCACACUGGGACUGAGACACGGCCCAGACUCCUACGGGAGGCAGCAGUGGGGAAUUUUGGACAAUGGGCGAAAGCCUGAUCCAGCAAUGCCGCGUGUGUGAUGAAGGCCUUCGGGUUGUAAAGCACUUUUGGCGGGAACGAAAAGGACUGUGCCAAUACCACGGUUCGAUGACGGUACCCGCAGAAUAAGCACCGGCUAACUACGUG
rnacentral:rRNA from 1 species